GACGAACGCUGGCGGCGUGCUUAACACAUGCAAGUCGAACGGAAAGGCCUGCUUUCCCUUGUGGAUUGCGGGUACUCGAGUGGCGAACGGGUGAGUAACACGUGAGUGAUCUGCCCCCAACUUGGGUAUAAGCCUGGGAAACUGGGUCUAAUUCCCGAUAGGACUGCAGGGUGGUGCCUGUGGUGGAAAACGAUUUUCUAGUGGUUGGGGAUGAGCUCGCGGCCUAUCAGCUUGUUGGUGGGGUAAUGGCCUACCAAGGCGGCGACGGGUAGCCGGCCUGAGAGGGUGGACGGGCACAUUGGGACGGAGAUACGGCCCAGACUCCUACGGGAGGCAGCAGUGGGGAAUAUUGCACAAUGGGCGGAAGCCUGAUGCAGCGACGCCGCGUGGGGGAUGACGGCCUUCGGGUUGUAAACUCCUUUCGACCGCGAGGAAGCCACCUGGUUGGAAGGGUGGUGACGGUAGUGGUAGAAGAAGCACCGGCUAACUACGUG
rnacentral:rRNA from 1 species